CUUUUUUUUUUUUUUUUUUUUUGAGACAGAAUCUCGGAAUCUCGCUCUGUCGCCCAGGCUGGAGUGCAGUGGUGCAAUCUUGGCUCACUGCAAGCUCCACCUCCUGGAUUCCUGCCAUUCUCCUGCCUCAGCCUCCCGAGUAGCUGGGACUACAGGCACCUGCCACCAUGGUGGGCCAAUUUUUUGUAUUUUUGGUAGAGAUGGGGUUUCACCAUGUUAGCCAGGAUGGUCUCGAUCUCCUGACCUCAUGAUUCGCCCGCCUCGGCCUCCCAACGUGCUGGGAUUACAGGCGUGAGCCACCGCGCCUGGCCUAAAUCUUUUAAGGAGACUCAGUCUUUGUGGCCUGACACUUGGGGAACAGUCAGCUUCAGGAAGUUGGGAUGCCACACCUUUGUUUCUUGAACCAUUUAGGGAGGUGUUUCUUGAACCAUUUUGAAAUCAGAAGUGUGAGUCCUCCAGCCCUGACUUUUUUUUCAAGAUUGUUUUGGCUAUUUCAGGUCCCUUGCAAUCCCAUAUGAAUUUUUUAUUUUUUAUUUUUUGAGACCGACUCUCACUCUGUUGCCCAGGCUGGAGUGCGGUUGCAUGAUCUCAGCUCACUGCAAGCUCCACCUCCCGGGUUCAAGUGAUUCUUGUGCCUCAGCCUCCUGAGUAGCUUGGACUACAGACGUGAGCCACCAUGUCCAGCUAAUUCUUGUAUUUUUAGUAGAGGCGGGCUUUCACGACGUUGGCCAGGCUGAUCUCGAACUCCUGACCUCAGGGGAUACGCCCGCCUCGGCCUCCCAAAGUGCUGAGAUUUUGGUGUGAACCAAUGCGCCUGGCCACAAUCACAUAUGAAUUUGAGGAUAUGCUUUUUCCAUUGAGCAAAAAAGCUAUUGGGAUUUUUAUAGGGAUUGUGUUGAAUCUGUACAUUGUUUUGGGUAUUGUCAUCUUAACAAUACUAAGUCUUCCAGUUUAUGAAUGUGGGUAACUUCUAAUUUAUUUAUUUCUUCAUUAAUCUCUUUCAGCAAUGUUUUUACAGUUUUCAGUGUAUAAUAUUUACUUCUUUGGAUAAAUUUAUUCCUAAGUAUCUUAUACUUUUUGAUGCGAUUGUAAUGCAGAUAGAAUUGCUUUAUUUCCUUUUCAAAUAUCCACUGCUGAUGUAUAGACAACUGAUUUUUGUGUGUUGAUUUUAUAACCUGCAACUUUGUUGAAUUCAUUUAUUAGUUCAAGUAGGUUUCUUGUAGAUUCUUUGGUCGUAGAGAUACAGUUUUACUUCUUUCUUUCCCAUUUGGAUGCUCUUUCUUUCUGCUUCCUGUCAACUUGCUCUGGCUAGAAUUUUCAGUAGGAUGUUGAAUAGCAGUUUUGAAAGCAGGCAUCUGCAUUCCUGGUGAUCAAACUAAUUAAAUUAAAAUACAUGUAAUUAUUUAGUUUGAGACAAUUAGAUUUAAAUGGCUAGGUUAGGGCCUUAAUCCAAUAUGAUUGGUUUCUGUAUAAGAAGAAGAAAUAUCACAGUGUGCAUGCACAGAAGUACGACCAUGUGAAGAGGUAGCAAGAGAGCAGCAAUCUACAAGCCAAGGAAAGAGGCCACAGAGGAAACCAACCCUGCCAGCAUCUUGAUCUUGGACUUCCAGCUUCCAGAACUGCCUUGUUCUUCUACCUUAUGAUGAUUCAAGCAAUGCCUGCUGCUUUUCCAAUCUGGGUUAGUUCAGAGUUAGGCAAACAGAGAACCAGGGACCCCACUCCCAUGCCGACAGUAUGGGCUGCUGUCUUCAGGACCAUUGCAAGUGUCCUUCACGGUUCGGUUCACAUUUCACAAGCCCCAUGAAGUCUAUCUGGAUUUUCGAUGGAUGUCUUGCCUUUUCCUCUACACACUACAGGAAGAGUGGCCACCCCUGCCAAGGGCCUAGUAUAGUACCCUAUACAUGUAGCUGAUCAGUUGAUUGUUACUGAUCAUAUGUAUCCUGCAUCAUGUUAUAAAAAAUUAACACAGUGCUUGGCACAUACUUGUACUGAGUAAGUAUUUGCUGAAUUGACUUAAAGUGUUGGAUGCCAUAGACCUCUGAGAAUAUAUAAUUUCUAUGUAUCACUCUCCUAGCAGAAUAAGAGAAUAUUAGAACUUGGGAAGAAGUCACAUCUAAUUCUUUUCUAUUUUUAUUUCAUUUUAUUUCUUUUUUUUAGAAGUGAGGUCUCACUCUGUCACCCAUUCUGGGGUGCAAUGGCAUGAGCAUAGCUCACUACAGCCUCGAACUCCUGGGGUCAAGCAAUCCUCCCACCUCAGCUUCCAAGUAGUUGCAGCUAUAGCUGCACACCAUUGUACAUGGCUAAUUUUUAUUUAUUCAUUUUUUUUUAUAGAGAGGAGGUCUCACUAUGUUGCCCAGGCUGGUCUUAAACUCCUCAAGUGAUCCUCCUGCCUUGGCCUCCCAAAGUGCUGGGAUUACCGGCAGGAGCCACUGUGCCUGGCCAGUUCUUGUUCAGCUACAAUUUAUUUUCCUAUUGCUUUUUGGAAUGUAAUUUAAACUUUACACUUCAGUUAUCCCACUUGUCAAAUGCAUACAUGAUUUCGUGGCCAAUAACCUGUACGUGGACACAGUAAAGUUAAAACAAUAAAGAUGCACGGAAUUUUGAUGCUGAUAGGUAUCAUAAAAUAAUGUGAUCCAAACUAAGGAGAUAUCUGAGCUCAGAGACAGUAAAAAGACCACCCUAAGUUUUUUUUUUUUUUUAAUCUAUCAAAGAGCUCAUCCAGCAUGCAAGUGUCCUGCUUUCUGAUCCAGCAGCCUUUCUAGCACCCCGGCCUUGAUUGUCAGAAUAGCAUCUGCUUAUAAGGUUUUUAAAUUAUUAAUACAGUAUACUAAAUCCCAGGAGUAGAAUAAGCCUUGUUAUUACGGCUAGUAAGUCAGCCCAGAGCAAUCUGAUAUUCCUGUAAAACUGAAUGGAUUUUGAAGUAAAGCAUCCUUGGGCUCACUGGCCUCAGAGGAGGCCAUCAUCUCAUUUACCUAUUUAAGAAAAACCCCAUAAAAGAGUGUUCUAUAUGGACAUUCAUUAUGUCUUAAGCUUUAUUGAUUCUGUUAUGUUGCCGUUAAUUAUAGGAACCACGAAAGCCUUCAAUUAGAUUAAAGCCAUAAUAAAUAAGAUUAGUAACACUUAUUCUGCUCUGUAUGUUAAGUGUUUUUAUAAUAAACUAAUGUUUAUCU
rnacentral:lncRNA from 1 species